rnacentral:misc_RNA from 1 species
AUGAUGUCAUAAAGGAUUAAUUAAUUUAUUUUAUUAAAUUGAGAUUUUUGGUCUUCUAAAAGGGGAUAAUUACUAACAAUUAAAAAGAAAAAAAAAAUCACUUUCUUCCUCCCCAUGUCCAACCGUCCCUCUCUCUCACCAUUUCUCUCAAAAAUCCUCCAUUGAUGAAUAUUUGAAGCUCAUAAAACUCUAAAUUUUCUUUCAUUUACCCAUAAUUUCCAACACCAAAUCUUGAUAUUAGACCUUGGUUAAAAACUUAGAAGCAAAGAAAGGAAGAAAAAGUGAAGAGAUUGAAGUUGGGAAAAGCUUCAUCAAAGGUAAGUCUCCCUCUCCUAACUUAAAUUAGUUUAUACUUAUGAAAAUGAUGUUGAACAAGUGAAAAUUAAAUGAAAAAGGAAAGAAAUAUUUUGUUGAGGGAAAAAGGGAAAUUCAGCCAACUUGAUGGGGGUUAGGGUUUGAUAGAAUUGAUAGAAUUGAACAUGUAAUUGAGGUUUGAUGCAUUAGAAUGAGUUU